rnacentral:rRNA from 1 species
GACGUAGGGCGCGAGCGUUGUCCGGAUUUAUUGGGCGUAAAGAGCUCGUAGGCGGUUUGUUGCGUCGGCUGUGAAAUCCCGAGGCUCAACCUCGGGUCUGCAGUCGAUACGAGCAAACUAGAGUGUUGCAGGGGGAGACUGGAAUUCCUGGUGUAGCGGUGAAAUGCGCAGAUAUCAGGAGGAACACCGGUGGCGAAGGCGGGUCUCUGGGCAACAACUGACGCUGGAGGAGCGAAAGCGUGGGGAGCGAACAGG